rnacentral:snRNA from 1 species
GGAGAACUCCUUGAACCUGGGAGGCAGAGGUUGCAGUGAGCCGAGAUCGCGCCAUUGCACUCCAGCCUGGGCGACAGAG